rnacentral:rRNA from 1 species
CAGUCGCCGCGGUAAUACGAAGGGUGCAAGCGUUACUCGAAAUUACUGGGCGUAAAGCGUGUGUAGGUGGUUGUUUAAGUCUGUCGUGAGAGCCCUGGGCUCAACCUGGGAAUUGCGAUGGAUACUGGGCGACUAGAGUGCGGUAGAGGAUAGUGGAAUUUCCGGUGUAGCAGUGAAAUGCGUAGAGAUCGGAAGGAACAUCUGUGGCGAAGGCGACUAUCUGGGCCAACACUGACACUGAGACACGAAAGCGUGGGGAGCAAACAGGAUUAGAUACCCCCGUAGUCCCUGUCUCUUAUAC